UAAAGAAGUUACAGCUGAGUAAACUACAGCUGAUAUAUGAUAAUUUAUUCAUAUAUCAGCUGUAAUUUACUCAGCUGUAACUUCUUUA
rnacentral:pre_miRNA from 1 species